rnacentral:lncRNA from 1 species
AUGGCUCUGCACUGCCCCAUGGCCAUGGGCCUCGACAAGGGCCACAAGGUGAUGAAGAACAUCAGCAAGCCAAAACACAGCUCGCCCCACAGGCUCCUCACCAAGCACACCAAGUUCGUGCAGGACAUGAUCCGGGAGGUGUGUGACUUCAUGUCCUAUGAUUGGUGCACCGUGGUAUUGCCCAAAGUGUCCAAUGACAAGUGCGCAUUCAAGUUCAUCAAGAAGAGGGUGGGCAUGCACAUCCACACCAAGAGAAAGUGGGAGGAGCUGAGCAUUGUGAUCGCAGCCAUGAGGAAGGCGGUGCCCAAGAAAGAU